GAUGAACGCUGGCGGUAUGCUUAACACAUGCAAGUCGAACGGUACCUUCGGGUAUAGUGGCGGACGGGUGAGUAACGCGUGAGAAUCUAUCUUCAGGUCGGGGACAACAGUUAGAAAUGACUGCUAAUACCGGAUGUGCCGAAAGGUAAAAGAUUUAUUGCCUGAAAAAGAGCUCGCGUCAGAUUAGCUAGUAGGUGGUGUAAGAGACUACCUAGGCUUCGAUCUGUAGCUGGUCUGGGAGGACGAUCAGCCACACUGGAACUGAGACACGGUCCAGACUCCUACGGGAGGCAGCAGUGGGGAAUUUUCCGCAAUGGGCGAAAGCCUGACGGAGCAAUACCGCGUGAGGGACGAAGGCUCUUGGGUCGUAAACCUCUUUUCUCAAGGAAGAUUCAGACGGUACUUGAGGAAUAAGCAUCGGCUAACUCUGUG
rnacentral:rRNA from 1 species